rnacentral:lncRNA from 1 species
GAGCUGGCUUCACGUGCACAGACGUGAACACAUCUGGGCUGCCCGGCCCAGGCUGAACCUGAGCCCGGUGGCCCUGCCCCUGCCUGCCUGUGACCCCAGCACUGGCGCUCACUGCAUUCCCACCACGCCUCGCACCCCACCCGCCACCAUGAGACAGUCCCGCCUCCCGCCCACAGCCGCUCGGGAGCCCAGCGUUCUGGGCUGCAGUUUCCCACGGGCUCCACGGGGCAAUAGCGCACCCUUGACUAAGUCCAGGUAAAGGUUACGUUAAGUUGAUAGUUGCUUUUUAAUAAUUCACCCCACUUAAAAUUCAAAGUGCUUUGCCCAGACUUUUACGGGGCCACAAGAGGCUUGCAGAGGGCUCAUGAAUAUGGAGUUGGUGUUGGUUCCCUGAAGGAAGCAUUGGCUCAAACAGCCAGCUCCCUGCUGCAGGUCCCUGGUCUGGGGCUCUGCCACCCGAGAGUAGGAUCCUCAUGGCUCAGGCGGCCGUCUGUGAGCAGGCAGAGCGCUUGCUAAGGAGGCCCCGUUCUUUGGAGAGCCCAGCAGAAGCGAGCGGAGCCACCCAGCCAGGCGUGGGCGAGGGGAGGGACGGCAGGGACCUUGCUUCUUCCUCUGGACAUUGUCAGGAACCUGGGCAGGGGAAGGUCGCGCACGUCGGGGCCUUGUGCUUGCCUGGGGACAGGCCUGUUUCGCCCUCAUAGACGGCCCCUGCUGAAGUCGGGCUCCACGCACUUCUUAGCUUUUCUCUCUAGCCCGCACAGCCCCGCCCCUCCCCGGCUGUUGAAGUCCCUCCUGUUCCGGCUCAGCGGUUCGUGUGAGAUCCCAGGUAUACCUUGCUGAAGGAAUAAUAAAACGGAGUAAGUGUUAUUACCAGGGAAAAUGCCCCUGGCUAUAAAAGUCUUUUUAUGGUGGUAAUGUUUGGUUUUAAUAUUUAAUAAGCAAAAACCACCGUAAAGAAACAUAGCAUUGUGUUCAGUCCCUUGAAGGAUGGUGAGAGCUGAAAUUGUGCAGGUGAGAUUUUAUCUGACGGAACUGAAACGGACUUGGAUGCACUUCAAACUCGGAGCCAGAGCCCAGACGUCUGGGCUGCGGCUCGAGCACACCCAAGGCUUGGUGACGGCAAGAGCACCGACUGCCCCAGCCGAGGAGGCGAGCGGAGAGUGGGCGAGAGUCUGCAGUUUAUUUGGAGCAAACUCUAAGCAUGGCUGCAGCGAGCUCUGA